CAGAGUUGAUCCUGGCUCAGGAUGAACGCUAGCUACAGGCUUAACACAUGCAAGUCGAGGGGCAGCAUGUUGGUUGCUUGCAACCAACGAUGGCGACCGGCGCACGGGUGAGUAACGCGUAUCCAACCUACCCUUGUCCAUCGGAUAACCCGUCGAAAGGCGGCCUAACACGAUAUGCGGUUCACAGCAGGCAUCUAACGUGAACGAAAUGUGAAGGAGAAGGAUGGGGAUGCGUCUGAUUAGCUUGUUGGCGGGGUAACGGCCACCAAGGCUACGAUCAGUAGGGGUUCUGAGAGGAAGGUCCCCCANAUUGGAACUGAGACACGGUCCAAACUCCUACGGGAGGCA
rnacentral:rRNA from 1 species